rnacentral:tRNA from 1 species
CGGUGAUUAGUUUAAAUAAAACCCUUGAUUUCGGCUCAAGCACUUAUGGUUAAAUUCCAUAAUCCCCUA